AUUAGAUACCCUGGGUAGUCCACGCAGUAAACGAUGAAUACUAAUUGUGGGGGACGAAUGAGUCCUGGGUGAUACAGCGAAAGCGUUAAGUAUUCCACCUGGGGAGUACGCCGGCAACGGUGAAACUCAAAGGAAUUGACGGGGGCCCGCACAAGCGGAGGAACAUGUGGUUUAAUUCGAUGAUACGCGAGGAACCUUACCCGGGCUCAAACGACACAGGAAUACUUUUGAAAGGAGGUAGCCAGCAAUGGUCUGUGUCGAGGUGCUGCAUGGUUGUCGUCAGCUCGUGCCGUGAGGUGUCGGCUUAAGUGCCAUAACGAGCGCAACCCCUACCGCCAGUUGCCAGCAGGUAAAGCUGGGGACUCUGGCGGGACUGCCGGCGCAAGCUGCGAGGAAGGCGGGGAUGACGUCAAAUCAGCACGGCCCUUACGUCCGGGGCGACACACGUGUUACAAUGGCAGGUACAGCGGGAAGCCACCUGGCGACAGGGCGCGGAACCCGAAAACCUGUCUCAGUUCGGAUUGGAGUCUGCAACCCGACUCCAUGAAGCUGGAUUCGCUAGUAAUCGCGCAUCAGCCACGGCGCGGUGAAUACGUUCCCGGGCCUUGUACACACCGCCCGUCAAGCCAUGGAAGCCGGGAGUGCCUGAAGUACGCGACCGCAAGGAGCGUCCUAAGGCAAUACCGGUGACUGGGGCUAAGUC
rnacentral:rRNA from 1 species